rnacentral:tRNA from 1 species
GAGGCAUAGCUCAGCUGGUUAGAGCGCUACGUUGACAUCGUAGAGGUCAUUGGUUCGAUUCCAACUGUCUCC